UGCAGAAGGAUCAUUAUUUAAUCUAAAUGAGUGCACUUAAUUGUGGCUCAAACUUUACACUUUUCACCCCAAAACUUGUUUGUGUGGCAUUUAUGCCAUUGCACUCAGGUAUACGUAACAUUUCUUUGUUACAUUAUCCCCCUCCCAAUUUUUUUUUUUUUAUAAACACAAGUUGAAUGUAAGAAUGUAAAACCUUUUAUUUGAAAAAUAACUUUUAACAAUGGAUCUCUAGGCUCUCAUAUCGAUGAAGAACACAGUGAAAUGUGAUAAGUAAUGUGAAUUGCGGAAUUCAGUGAAUCAUUGAAUCUUUGAACGCACCUUGCACCUUUUGGUAUUCCAAAAGGUACACCUGUUUGAGUGUCAUGAAAAUCUCUCAUCAAAUUUAUUUUUGGUGGAUGUUGAGUGCUGCUGUUAUCUAGCUCACUUUAAAUAUAUAAGUUCUUCCUUAUGUUGUUGGAUUGACUUGGUGUAAUAUUUAACUUUGUUUUCAUCAAGGAAAGUAGCAAUACUUGCCAAUAUAUUAAGUAAGGACUCCUAAAAAACAACUAUUUCAUUUUUUAAGACCUCAAAUCAGGUGGGACUACCUGCUGAACUUAAGCAUAUCAAUAAGCAGAGGAAAA
rnacentral:rRNA from 1 species